rnacentral:rRNA from 1 species
UACGGAGGGGGCAAGCGUUGUUCGGAGUCACUGGGCGUAAAGGGCGCGUAGGCGGUGCAUCAAGUCAGGCGUGAAAGCCCCGGGCUUAACCUGGGAAUUGCGCUUGAUACUGAUGCGCUAGAGAGCGGGAGAGGAUGGCGGAAUUCCCAGUGUAGAGGUGAAAUGCGUAGAUAUCGGGAGGAAUACCUAUGGCGAAGGCAGGUUACUGGGCCAUCACUGACGCUGAGCUGCGAAAGCUAGGGGAGCAAACAGG